rnacentral:miRNA from 1 species
UAUGGCACAUCGAGACGGAGAA